rnacentral:rRNA from 1 species
GAUGAACGCUGGCGGCGUGCCUAAUACAUGCAAGUCGAGCGAACAGACGAGGAGCUUGCUCCUCUGACGUUAGCGGCGGACGGGUGAGUAACACGUGGAUAACCUACCUAUAAGACUGGGAUAACUUCGGGAAACCGGAGCUAAUACCGGAUAAUAUAUUGAACCGCAUGGUUCAAUAGUGAAAGACGGUUUUGCUGUCACUUAUAGAUGGAUCCGCGCCGCAUUAGCUAGUUGGUAAGGUAACGGCUUACCAAGGCAACGAUGCGUAGCCGACCUGAGAGGGUGAUCGGCCACACUGGAACUGAGACACGGUCCAGACGCCUACGGGAGGCAGCAGUAGGGAAUCUUCCGCAAUGGGCGAAAGCCUGACGGAGCAACGCCGCGUGAGUGAUGAAGGUCUUCGGAUCGUAAAACUCUGUUAUUAGGGAAGAGCAAAUGUGUAAGUAACUAUGCACGUCUUGACGGUACCUAAUCAGAAAGCCACGGCUAACUACGUG